rnacentral:lncRNA from 1 species
CUGUGAUCCGUCACGUUGACACUGCGAAUUAAGUAAGUAGUGAGAAGUUGUCUCCUCUUGUUCCUUGCGUACUUUUUGUUUCAAAGAUUUCUUGAUAUUUCUUCAAAACUUAUGUACUAGCUUUAAAAAAUAUAUAUAUAUAGUUUUGCAAGAAAAAGGGAAGAUGAGAAGAAGGAGAAGAUGGUGGCCACGCGGUCGGAUGAAGAUUCAACUGACGACUACUUCCACAGGAGAAAUUUCUUCAGUCUAUUAAACCAGAAAAUAGGAUCCAGAAGGCUGGAAAUCUCUCUUUAUAGACGCUGCCACUUGCUCCUCCGAUGGCGGCGGACGAAAGGGAAAGGAGAAAGGGAAGUCUAUGAAAGAAAUGAAGUAAGGUGUAGUGAGCUUGGGAUUAUCUCUCUGGUGAGUGGUGGGUAGCAGAAAGAUGGCAGCAGCAGCCGUAGGAGGAGGUUGGUGACGAAAGCGGUGGAUGGAUGUUCGAGUUUGGGAUAGAAGGCAAAAUUGAUACCGACAGAAUUAACUACGCUUUUUGUCUCGAAGCAAGAAGAAACGAAUUCUCAAUUAUUAAUUCAUAAUAUGUCAAUGUGGCAGAUUGUCGCGGAUCGAAGUUUUUGCCUAUCGAUGCUUCCCAAAAAUUUACGAAUGGAACUUCGUUUGUUUGCCUGCCUGUCAAAUGUUGCCAUCUUUUCCUUCAUCAACCAUUACUAUCAAUCACCAUGUAAAAUUUAUUAGCUCAAACUCAAAAAUAUAAUGCAUGUGAAUCUAUAUAUGUCUCGGAAUUCCACUAGUCAGUCCCUUUAUUCCAUUAUUAUUCUGCCCACCCAUCCCUUUCUCCCCGUCUAAUAAUAGUUUUUUUUUUUAAAAUUCCAAGUUAUUCAAAAAUAGUAAACUUUUCAUCAUGU